AUUCGUGUUUAUGAUAAUCACCAAACAGAAGGAAGGCACUUUUACCAGCAUUAAACCUAAGGUGCCAUGUUUUUGCAUAAUCAGAUAUAACAUUCAAUAAACAUUGAAGACCAUCGGGUGUACAACUUAAUAGGGUUGUAUCAUCUGCAAGUAGGAUACCAGGGGUAGUGGCCCAGGGCAGGUUUAAGCCUCUUCCUGAAUUAUCAGCAGCAUUUAACAGAUCGUUAAUGUACAGUGUAAACAACCAAGCCGAUAGGACCCGUCCUUGCCCAAAACCUGCUAAAGAAUCUAUAUUUCUUAUUUCUAUGGGAACUUUGUUCCAAAUUCGUAUAGUAGAUGGAAAACAAAUGAUGAUAAGGAAAGUUUCAAUCUCGUAAAUGGAAGGGAGAAGUUUAAGGAGUUGCGAAGGUUAUAAGAUGAUUUUUGGCCAACAUAUGUAGGUGUUACUACGUGCUG